CCGAGAGGCGUAGGCGAUGGACAACCGGUUGAUAUUCCGGUACCCGCUUUGAAACGCCCAGUACUGAAUCAGGCGAUGCUAAGUCCGUGAAGCCGGCCCGAUCUCUUCGGAGUUGAGGGUAGUGGUGGAGCCGAUGAACCAGACUUGUAGUAGGUAAGCGAUGGGGUGACGCAGGAAGGUAGUCCAGCCCGGGCGGUGGUUGUCCCGGGGUAAGCGUGUAGGGCGGGGUCUAGGCAAAUCCGGACCCCACAAAGCCUGAGACGUGAUGCCGAGCCAUACCAGGCGAAGUCACUGAUCCCAUGCUGCCAAGAAAAGCCUCUAGCGAGCUGACACGGUGCCCGUACCCCAAACCGACACAGG
rnacentral:rRNA from 1 species